rnacentral:rRNA from 1 species
GAUGAACGCUAGCGGCAGGCUUAACACAUGCAAGUCGAGGGGUAUAGGUUUUCGGACCUAGAGACCGGCGCACGGGUGCGUAACGCGUAUGCAAUCUACCUUUCACAGAGGGAUAGCCCAGAGAAAUCUGGAUUAAUACCUCAUAGUAUAGCAGUUUCGCAUGAAAACCAUAUUAAAGUUCUAACGGUGAAAGAUGAGCAUGCGUUCCAUUGGCUAGAUGGUAAGGUAACGGCUUACCAUGGCUACGAUGGGUCGGGGUCCUAAGAGGGAGAUCCACCACACUGGUACUGCGACACGGACCAGACUUCUACGGGAGGCAGCAGUGAGGAAUACUGGUCAAUGGAGGCAAGUCUGAACCAGCCAUGCCGCGUGCAGGAUGACGGUCCUAUGGAUUGUAAACUGCUUUUGUACGAGAAGAAACAACAUUACGUGUAAUGUCUUGACGGUAUCGUAAGAAUAAGGAACGGCUAACUCCGUGCCAGCCGCCGCGGUAACAC